rnacentral:rRNA from 1 species
GUCCACGCCGUAAACGAUGGGCACUGGGUCGUCGCGGUCUAUGCCGUGGCGGCCGUAGGAAAUUCAUUAAGUGCCCCGCCUGGGGAGUAUGGUCGCAAGGCUGAAACUCAAAGGAAUUGACGGGGGCUCACACAAGCGGUGGAGGAUGUGGUUUAAUUCGAAGCAACGCGCAGAACCUUACCAGGUCUUGACAUGCUGGGAUUAGAAGAGCGAAAGCUUUUUGAUUGCCCGCAAGGGUGUAACCAGCACAGGUGCUGCAUGGCUGUCGU